rnacentral:rRNA from 1 species
UACGUAGGUGGCGAGCGUUGUCCGGAUUUACUGGGCGUAAAGGGAGCGUAGGCGGACUUUUAAGUGAGAUGUGAAAUACUCGGGCUCAACUUGAGUGCUGCAUUUCAAACUGGAAGUCUAGAGUGCAGGGGAGGGGAAUGGAAUUCCUAGUGUAGCGGUGAAAUGCGUAGAGAUUAGGAAGAACACCAGUGGCGAAGGCGAUUCUCUGGACUGUAACUGACGCUGAGGCUCGAAAGCGUGGGGAGCAAACAGG